rnacentral:lncRNA from 1 species
AUGAUGCCCUCAACCCCAUGGUGGCAGGGUAUCAACCCUCAGACCCGCUUUGUCCCCAUGUCCCCACCGCGUCCCCUUACCGGAGUGGAUGAACAUGUGCUUGGUGUAGUUCUUGCGGGAGCUGAAGGUCUUCUGGCAGUGGCCGCACUGGUAGGAUGGCUCGGGACGACGCGAGGGGCCAGCCCGCGGCACCUUGGGGACCGAGGGGAUGCCGCCACUCGUCCCCUCCUCUGUGCUCCCCUCCUCGUAGAGCACUGGCACCGUGGGGGCGAACCCCAGACUGUUCCCCGCUGGCGCUACCUCGGCCCCGAAUCCCGAACCCCGUCCAGAUGCCUCCAAGCCGCACUCAGGUCCCACCUUGCCCCCGUCCUCGCCUGGCCAGGGCGGCAGGAAGGCGUCGGAGAAGACCUCGGGGGCACCAAAAAAGGGGGGCUCUUCCGCAGGGAACGGCGCCGGCGGCACCGAGCCUUCCUCAUCGACACCCGCCACCGCCUCCUCCUCCUCCUCCUCCUCCUUGACCGGCAGCUGGAGCCUCAACGGCUGCCGCUGCUUGCGGCUGUGACAGCUCGGUGGCCCCAGGUAGCCCUCGGGCUCCGGCGGUGGCCCCAGGAGCUCGCGGAGCUUGCGGCGCGCGUCGGCGGGCGGCGGCAGCGGCGGGCGGGCGGGCGGCAGCACCUUGGGGCCGCGGCUCUGGGAGAUGAUCUGGGUGCACUCGUCGAUGACCGUCUUGAUCUGCAGGAUGGAGGCGGCGGUGAGGAUCUGGAGAGCUUCCGACUGGGCCACCACCAGGCAGCCGCUGUACAUGAACUCCACCAGCUGGCGCACGGCCCCGCUGGGGACGACGGGCGGCACCUCGAUGGCCGAGUGGCCCAGGAGCAGCUUGUCGUGGAAGAAGGGGCUGCCGGCGGCCAGGACGCAGCGGUGGGCGCGCAGGGUGGCCUCGCGGAUGCGCACGGUGACGUCGCAGAAGUGGCCGCCCAGGCGCUGCCCGUUGAGGGUCUCCAGCAGCGAGCGGCUGAAGUUCUGCAGGUGGAUGUAGUGCACCGCCUCCGCCAUGGCCGACGGGGACGACGACGGGGACGACGACGGGGACAACGGGGAUGGCGGAUGAGAGGAGCGGGGAGGCCGCCGGGGGGUGGUCGGCGAGGUCUGCAGGUACCUGCGGGAGGAGUAAGAGGGGCUGGGGACGUCGUAUGGGGUGCCACCAAGGGGUUGGGGACACCUUACGGGGUGUCACCAGAGGUCGAGGACGUUAUAUGGGUGCCACCAGGGGAUGGGGGCACAUUCUAG